rnacentral:rRNA from 1 species
CUUUACCAAUUCAAAAGAUCAUUUGGUGUAGUUGAAAUAACAGAAUUGGAACUUGUUUGGUCAAGUAAGGGAAACUCAAUCAAAUUCAUAACUGUCUCAAUAGAAUCUUUUCCUUCUUUUUUUUGUCGUAAAUAG